AGGUUUCCUCAGUCGACGAUUCCUACGGGAGGCAGCAGUGAGGAAUAUUGGACAAUGGGCGAGAGCCUGAUCCAGCCAUGCCGCGUGCAGGAAGACUGCCCUAUGGGUUGUAAACUGCUUUUAUACAGGAAGAAUAAGCCUUACGUGUAAGGUGAUGACGGUACUGUAAGAAUAAGGACCGGCUAACUCCGUGCCAGCAGCCGCGGUAAUACGGAGGGUCCGAGCGUUAUCCGGAAUUAUUGGGUUUAAAGGGUCCGUAGGCGGAUGAUUAAGUCAGGGGUGAAAGUUUGCAGCUCAACUGUAAAAUUGCCUUUGAUACUGGUUAUCUUGAGUUGUAUUGAAGUAGGCGGAAUAUGUAGUGUAGCGGUGAAAUGCAUAGAUAUUACAUAGAACACCAAUUGCGAAGGCAGCUUACUAAGUACUAACUGACGCUGAUGGACGAAAGCGUGGGUAGCGAACAGGAUUAGAUACCCUGGUAGUCCACGCCGUAAACGAUGGAUACUAGCUGUUCGGGGCCUUGAGCUCUGAGCGGCUAAGCGAAAGUGAUAAGUAUCCCACCUGGGGAGUACGUUCGCAAGAAUGAAACUCAAAGGAAUUGACGG
rnacentral:rRNA from 1 species